rnacentral:piRNA from 1 species
UAGCAUAGUACUUAAGAGGCUUGGGCAAGA